AGUGUAGCUCAGUGAUAAAGCACUUGCCUAACAUGCAUGAGGCCCUGGGUUCAAUUCCCAGUACU
rnacentral:tRNA from 1 species